GGGGACGACCUGGCUUCGACGCGGGUUACAAAACCUGAGGGGCAUGCCGAGGAUGCACAUAGCCUCGUAAAUCCAAUAUGCAAAACUUUUAGUUGCCAACGACGACAACUACGCACUAGCCGCUUAAGAACCGGUUUAUUGCCGUCUGACUGGAGCCGUGCUUAUGCGUCCAGGUUCUUCGGAACACUCAGGCGUCGACUCUCAUAAGAUCGUGAUGAAAUGCGUCCGGCGUGGAUUCUCUAAACUUUUACCGGAACCGCUGUACACGCAUCCUGCCGUUCGGGUAGUGGCCAGUUAAAUUAAAAGAGUCGGCUAAGCAUGUAGAACCAAAGGCAGAGGAUUUGCGGACGCGGGUUCGAUUCCCGCCGUCUCCACCA
rnacentral:tmRNA from 1 species